UAACACGUGGGUAACCUGCCCAUCAGAGGGGGAUAACAUUCGGAAACGGAAUGCUAAAACCGCAUAGGUCCUUUAACCCCAUGGUUGAAGGAGGAAAAGAAGGCGCAAGCUUCUGCUGAUGGAUGGACCCGCGGUGCAUUAGCUAGUUGGUGAGGUAACGGCUCACCAAGGCCGUGAUGCAUAGCCGACCUGAGAGGGUGAUCGGCCACAUUGGGACUGAGACACGGCCCAA
rnacentral:rRNA from 1 species